UGAACUGGUCCAAUGCCAUCCGCAGACCGGUGGCUCUAGUUUCAAAUUUGUUCAACCUCAUCCAAUGGCAGCAUAUUACAGUGUCCUAAACAGUAGCGACAUGAAUCAGUAUGGAUCUAGAGAAAAUCCAAACCAAGGUCCCGGCGUCGAAAUUACACUCUUAAAUCAUUCUUAUGCAUUUCCACAGAGCAUCGGAAGAAUACUAAUGGGACCAUAAAUCCGUGAACAACAAAGGUGACGAGAAAUAAAACGUGGACAGGAUGCCAUUUUUUCGAUCUUUACGACUGGUAAAAGAGAAAAGUUAGGAUUGAAUUCUGCAAAUAUGGAUUGUUAUAUAUAUAUAUAUAUUGCUUGAACUCUGAAUUGAUAUUGUUAACUAGACCUACAAAAUACUUUCUGAUGGGAAAUCACGAUUUGUAUAAAUUACAGGGUUUGUACAAAAGUGGAAGUGAUACAUUACAUGUAUAAUUUUUUCUUACAGGAUCAAGUGUUGUAAAAACAUGUUCUUGAAUUGGAAUUUGUGAGAAAAUGUUCCUGUUCUUUUCUUGACCAUUUGUCAAAUCAAGGCUUCUCUACCAAGCAUCUAGAUAAUAAAAAAAUGAUUGCUUUAGGUCUGUUCGAGAGCUUGAAAUAUCCAAAUCAUUUGACCAAAUAUAUGAAGAAUUAAAUUCCAAGCAGAAAUAUCAGCUUCACAGGGGAGGAGACCAUUCAUUCAUGGCAAUGAUUCAGACAAGCUUUGCAUCAAGCUACUUCCAAGACUCAAACCAAAGUCCAAAAACUAUCUCAAAAUUAUACAUGAAUUUUGUCAAAAUUUGACAUAAUUUUGAUUCAAAGAUAGACAUUUAAAGAAAUGAUUACAAAUAAGUGAAGAUUAGAAGCCACAGAUCCACUUAAACCAGCUCUCAUUAGAGAUCAGAACUAAGCCAGAUUGUCUAAAGAGAAGCAUUUUGCACCAAAUCAAAGCUAAAAUUGAAGUGAUACUAAACCCCCACAAAAGAUGGCGCCAUGAAUUUCCAGCUGAAAUUUUCAAAGGAUUCUACCAAACAAGAGAGGGGAAUUGGAAAAGACUGACCAGAACUCAUUAAAAGCUGAACCUUCAAAAUCUGCAAACAGAUCAGUGAUAAACCCUAGAAGAAGGCUGAGGUCCAAGCUUGAGAUUACCCAAAGGCACCAAGAUGCAGCUCUGAUUGACUGAAUUAAGAGAAUCAUUUUCACUAAUGAAAAAAAAGGGCAAUUUUGCUUAGGCUUAAAAAUACAAUCAUUUAGCAUAAAAAAAAAAAACAAACUUUUUU
rnacentral:lncRNA from 1 species